UGAAACGCGCUUAUAGUACCUACACAUGUCCAAGUAACCCAAAAAUCAGACCCAGGGCCUACUCGGCCAAUUUUAGAAUUCCGGCACUGCGGCUCCGCUGUGCUUCGGCGAUGGUGUCGCCGGCUGCGGCGGCGAUCCACCUCAGGUUGGCUGUUUUUGCCAUUUUCGGUCGAAUUCAGCCAAACUAGCACCAGUUCUUGCGAGAAAACACACGUAAGGCCCUCGGUGGGCCAAAAAAACACAGAAAACCGAGACUUACUGGCGGCGGGGCUCUCCGGUGCGGCGGCUCCUACUGCUCGAGUCGCGAUUUGGUAUUUUGUUUCGGUCAACCUGUAGAAGAAGGAACGGUGGUCACAAUGGUGGAAAAAUUACAUCGAACGGGAAUCGGGAAGGGCCUCAUUGGAGGCAAAAAUCAAGAAAACUCCGGGUGGCGUUUUCUUGCCAAUUGACCGGUGUUUUGGCUCAGAUUUGGCCACAAGUGGGUUUAGAAU
rnacentral:lncRNA from 1 species